rnacentral:rRNA from 1 species
CCUACGGGGGGCUGCAGUGGGGAAUAUUGGACAAUGGGGGGAACCCUGAUCCAGCCAUGCCGCGUGUGUGAAGAAGGCCCUCGGGUUGUAAAGCACUUUCAGUGAGGAAGAACGCCUGGUGGUUAAUACCCAUCAGGAAAGACAUCACUCACAGAAGAAGCACCGGCUAACUCCGUGCCAGCAGCCGCGGUAAUACGGAGGGUGCGAGCGUUAAUCGGAAUUACUGGGCGUAAAGCGCGCGUAGGUGGCUUGAUAAGCCGGUUGUGAAAGCCCCGGGCUCAACCUGGGAACGGCAUCCGGAACUGUCAAGCUAGAGUGCAGGAGAGGAAGGUAGAAUUCCCGGUGUAGCGGUGAAAUGUGUAGAGAUCGGGAGGAAUACCAGUGGCGAAGGCGGCCUUCUGGACUGACACUGACACUGAGGUGCGAAAGCGUGGGUAGCAAACAGGAUUAGAUACCCUAGUAGU